rnacentral:rRNA from 1 species
GAUGAACGCUGGCGGCGUGCUUAACACAUGCAAGUCGAACGGAAAGGCCUCUGCUUGCAGGGGUACUCGAGUGGCGAACGGGUGAGUAACACGUGGGUGAUCUGCCCUGCACUUCGGGAUAAGCCUGGGAAACUGGGUCUAAUACCGGAUAGGACAAUGGUUUGGAUGCUGUUGUGGAAAGUUUUUCGGUGUGGGAUGAGCUCGCGGCCUAUAAGCUUGUUGGUGGGGUAAUGGUCUACCAAAGCGUCGACGGGUAGCCGGCCUGAGAGGGUGUACGGCCACAUUGGGACUGAGAUACGGCCCAGACUCCUACGGGAGGCAGCAGUGGGGAAUAUUGCACAAUGGGCGCAAGCCUGAGGCAGCGACGCCGCGUGGGGGAUGACGGCCUUCGGGUUGUAAACUCCUAUCGCUAGGGACGAAGCGUUUUUGUGACGGUACCUGGAGAAGAAGCACCGGCUAACUACGUG